GUUGUAUAGUCAAGUAAUUAAGUGCAUGUGGUGGAUGCCUUGGCAGUCAGAGGCGAUGAAAGACGUGAUAGCCUGCGAAAAGCUCCGGGGAGGCGGCAAAUAUCCUUUGAUCCGGAGAUGUCUGAAUGGGGGAACCCACCUACUUUAAGGUAGGUAUUGCAACAUGAAUACAUAGUGUUGCAAGGCGAACGAGGGGAAGUGAAACAUCUCAGUACCCUUAGGAAAAGAAAUCAAUUGAGAUUCCCUCAGUAGCGGCGAGCGAACGGGGAUCAGCCCAUUAAGUUAUGUGUGUUUUAGUGGAACGCUCUGGGAAGUGCGAACGUAGAGGGUGAUAUUCCCGUACACGAAAGGGCACACAUAAUGAUGACGAGUAGGGCGAGGCACGUGAAACCUUGUCUGAAUAUGGGGGGACCAUCCUCCAAGGCUAAAUACUCCUGACUGACCGAUAGUGAACCAGUACCGUGAGGGAAAGGCGAAAAGAACCCCUGUGAGGGGAGUGAAAUAGAUCCUGAAACCGCAUGCAUACAAGCAGUGGGAGCACCUUCGUGGUGUGACUGCGUACCUUUUGUAUAAUGGGUCAGCGACUUAUAUUCAGUAGCAAGGUUAACCGUAUAGGGGAGCCGUAGAGAAAUCGAGUCUUAAUAGGGCGUUUAGUUGCUGGGUAUAGACCCGAAACCAGGCGAUCUAUCCAUGAGCAGGUUGAAGGUUGGGUAACACUAACUGGAGGACCGAACCCACUGUCGUUGAAAAGCCAGGGGAUGACUUGUGGAUAGGGGUGAAAGGCUAAUCAAGCCUGGUGAUAGCUGGUUCUCCCCGAAAGCUAUUUAGGUAGCGCCUCGGACGAAUACCAUAGGGGGUAGAGCACUGUUUCGGCUAGGGGGUCAUCCCGACUUACCAAACCGAUGCAAACUCCGAAUACCUAUGAGUACUAUCCGGGAGACAGACUGCGGGUGCUAACGUCCGUAGUCAAGAGGAAAACAAUCCAGACCGCCAGCUAAGGCCCCAAAAUCAUAGUUAAGUGGGAAACGAUGUGGGAAGGCAUAGACAGCUAGGAGGUUGGCUUANGAAGCAGCCACCCUUUAAAGAAAGCGUAAUAGCUCACUAGUCGAGUCGGCCUGCGCGGAAGAUGUAACGGGGCUAAAACUAUGUGCCGAAGCUGCGGAUGUAUACUUUGUAUACGUGGUAGGGGAGCGUUCUGUAAGCCGAUGAAGGUGUGUUGAGAAGCNNNNNNNNNNNNNNNNNNNNNNNNNNNNNNNNNNNNNAUGCUGGAGGUAUCAGAAGUGCGAAUGCUGACGUGAGUAACGACAAAACGGGUGAAAAACCCGUUCGCCGAAAGACCAAGGGUUCCAGUCCAACGUUAAUCGGGGCUGGGUGAGUCGACCCCUAAGGCGAGGCCGAAAGGCGUAGUCGAUGGGAAAAUGGUUAAUAUUCCAUUACUUCUGUGUAAUGCGAUGAGAGGACGGAGAAGGCUAAAUCAGCCUGGCGUUGGUUGUCCAGGUGAAAGGAUGUAGGCAUGUAUCUUAGGCAAAUCCGGGGUACUCUAUGCUGAGAUCUGAUAGCAAGCUGUACUUGUACAGCGAAGUGGUUGAUGCCAUGCUUCCAGGAAAAGUCUCUAAGCUUCAGUUACACAGGAAUCGUACCCGAAACCGACACAGGUGGUCAGGUCGAGUAGACCAAGGCGCUUGAGAGAACUCUGCUGAAGGAACUAGGCAAAAUGGUACCGUAACUUCGGGAGAAGGUACGCUGUUGUUGGUGAUGGAACUCGCUUCCUGAGCUGACGACAGCCGCAGAAACCAGGCCGCUGCAACUGUUUAUUAAAAACAUAGCACUCUGCAAACACGAAAGUGGACGUAUAGGGUGUGAUGCCUGCCCGGUGCUGGAAGGUUAAUUGAUGGGGUUAGCGUAAGCGAAGCUCUUGAUCGAAGCCCCAGUAAACGGCGGCCGUAACUAUAACGGUCCUAAGGUAGCGAAAUUCCUUGUCGGGUAAGUUCCGACCUGCACGAAUGGCAUAAUGAUGGCGGCGCUGUCUCCAGCAGAGGCUCAGUGAAAUCGAAAUCGCUGUGAAGAUGCAGUGUACCCGCGGCUAGACGGAAAGACCCCGUGAACCUUUACUGCAGCUUGACACUGAACUUUGACCUUACUUGUGUAGGAUAGGUGGGAGGCUUUGAAGCUGGAACGCUAGUUCCAGUGGAGCCGUCCUUGAAAUACCACCCUGGUAAUGUUGAGGUUCUAACUCUGUCCCGUGAUCCGGGACGAGGACCGUGUCUGGUGGGUAGUUUGACUGGGGCGGUCUCCUCCUAAAGAGUAACGGAGGAGUACGAAGGUGCGCUCAGCGUGGUCGGAAAUCACGCGUAGAGUAUAAAGGCAAAAGCGCGCUUAACUGCGAGACCCACAAGUCGAGCAGGUACGAAAGUAGGUCUUAGUGAUCCGGUGGUUCUGUAUGGAAGGGCCAUCGCUCAACGGAUAAAAGGUACUCUGGGGAUAACAGGCUGAUACCGCCCAAGAGUUCAUAUCGACGGCGGUGUUUGGCACCUCGAUGUCGGCUCAUCUCAUCCUGGGGCUGAAGCAGGUCCCAAGGGUAUGGCUGUUCGCCAUUUAAAGAGGUACGCGAGCUGGGUUUAGAACGUCGUGAGACAGUUCGGUCCCUAUCUACCGUGGGCGCUGGAAAUUUGAGAGGAUCUGCUCCUAGUACGAGAGGACCAGAGUGGACGAACCUCUGGUGUACCGGUUGUGACGCCAGUCGCAUCGCCGGGUAGCUAUGUUCGGAAGGGAUAACCGCUGAAAGCAUCUAAGCGGGAAGCCUACCUCAAGAUAAGAUUUCCCUAGGACUUUAUGUCCUCUAAAGAGCCGUUCGAGACUAGGACGUUGAUAGGUUGGAUGUGGAAGCAUAGUGAUAUGUGAAGCUGACCAAUACUAAUUGCUCGUGAGGCUUGACUAUACAACACCCAAGCAGUUG
rnacentral:rRNA from 1 species